UGCCUGAUCGUCUAAUGGUAGGACGCCUGGUUUUGGUCCAGGAAAUUGGGGUUCGAGUCCCUGUCGGGCAG
rnacentral:tRNA from 1 species